GAUAUACGCGGUAGGAGAGCGUUCUGUAAGCCUGCGAAGGCAGAUUGAGAAGUCUGCUGGAGGUAUCAGAAGUGCGAAUGCUGACAUGAGUAGCGAUAAAGGGGGUGAAAAGCCCCCUCGCCGUAAGUCCAAGGUUUCCUGCGCAACGUUCAUCGGCGCAGGGUGAGUCGGCCCCUAAGGCGAGGCAGAGAUGCGUAGCUGAUGGGAAGCUGGUUAAUAUUCCAGCACCGUCGUAGGAUGCGAUGGGGGGACGGAUUGCGAAAGGUCAUCGGGGUGUUGGAAGUCCCCGUUGCUGCAUCGAAGAAGGCGCUUUAGGCAAAUCCGGGCGCGUAAUUCAAGGGUGUGGCUGAAUAGAGCUUAGGCUCUAGACUGAUCGGCAGCAGUUCCAAGAAAAGCCUCUAAGCUUCAGUCCUACGAGACCGUACCGCAAACCGACACAGGUGGACGGGAUGAAUAUUCCAAGGCGCUUGAGAGAACUCAGGAGAAGGAACUCGGCAAAUUGAUACCGUAACUUCGGGAGAAGGUAUACCCUGCGUAGUGUGAUGGGCCCGCGCCCUGAGCAUGAAGGGGUCGCAGAGAAUCGGUGGCUGCGACUGUUUAUUAAAAACACAGCACUCUGCCAAGACGAAAGUCGACGUAUAGGGUGUGACGCCUGCCCGGUGCCGGAAGGUUAAGUGAUGGGGUGCAAGCUCUUGAUCGAAGCCCCGGUAAACGGCGGCCGUAACUAUAACGGUCCUAAGGUAGCGAAAUUCCUUGUCGGGUAAGUUCCGACCUGCACGAAUGGCGUAACGAUGGCCACACUGUCUCCUCCUGAGACUCAGCGAAGUUGAAGUGUUUGUGAUGAUGCAAUCUACCCGCGGCUAGACGGAAAGACCCCAUGAACCUUUACUGUAGCUUUGCAUUGGAUUGUGAACCGGCCUGUGUAGGAUAGGUGGGAGGCGUAGAACCCGAGUCGCCAGAUUCGGGGGAGCCGACCUUGAAAUACCACCCUGGUUUGUUUGCGGUUCUAACCUUGGCCCGUUAUCCGGGUUGGGGACAGUGCAUGGUGGGCAGUUUGACUGGGGCGGUCUCCUCCUAAAGUGUAACGGAGGAGUUCGAAGGUACGCUAGAGACGGUCGGAAAUCGUCUUGAUAGUGCAAUGGCAUAAGCGUGCUUGACUGUGAGACUGACAAGUCGAACAGGUGCGAAAGCAGGACAUAGUGAUCCGGUGGUUCUGAAUGGAAGGGCCAUCGCUCAACGGAUAAAAGGUACUCUGGGGAUAACAGGCUGAUACCGCCCAAGAGUUCAUAUCGACGGCGGUGUUUGGCACCUCGAUGUCGGCUCAUCUCAUCCUGGGGCUGUAGCCGGUCCCAAGGGUAUGGCUGUUCGCCAUUUAAAGAGGUACGUGAGCUGGGUUUAAAACGUCGUGAGACAGUUUGGUCCCUAUCUGCCGUGGGCGUUGGAUACUUGACGGAGCCUGCUCCUAGUACGAGAGGACCGGAGUGGACGUACCGCUGGUGUAUCGGUUGUCAUGCCAAUGGCAUUGCCGAGUAGCUACGUACGGAAGAGAUAACCGCUGAAGGCAUCUAAGCGGGAAACUCGUCUGAAGAUUAGGUAUCCCGGGGGCUAGACCCCCCUGAAGGGUCGUUCGAGACCAGGACGUUGAUAGGCUGGGUGUGUAAGCGCAGUAAUGCGCGCAGCUAACCAGUACUAAUUGCCCGUGCGGCUUGAUCCUAUAACCUUGCAGGUUGUG
rnacentral:rRNA from 1 species